UACGGGGGGAGCAAGCGUUGUUCGGAUUUACUGGGCGUAAAGGGCGCGUAGGCGGUCAGCACAAGUCAGUUGUGAAAUCUCCGGGCUUAACUCGGAAAGGUCAACUGAUACUGUGCGACUAGAGUGCGGAAGGGGCAACUGGAAUUCUCGGUGUAGCGGUGAAAUGCGUAGAUAUCGAGAGGACCACCUGCGGCGAAGGCGGGUUGCUGGGCCGACACUGACGCUGAUGCGCGAAAGCCAGGGGAGCGAACGGG
rnacentral:rRNA from 1 species